rnacentral:rRNA from 1 species
UACGUAGGGUGCAAGCGUUGUCCGGAAUUAUUGGGCGUAAAGAGCUCGUAGGCGGCUUGUCGCGUCUGCUGUGAAAACCCGAGGCUCAACCUCGGGCCUGCAGUGGGUACGGGCAGGCUAGAGUGCGGUAGGGGAGAUUGGAAUUCCUGGUGUAGCGGUGGAAUGCGCAGAUAUCAGGAGGAACACCGAUGGCGAAGGCAGAUCUCUGGGCCGCUACUGACGCUGAGGAGCGAAAGCAUGGGGAGCGAACAGGAUUAGAUACCCUGGUAGUCCAUGCCGUAAACGUUGGGAACUAGAUGUAGGGCCUGUUCCACGGGUUCUGUGUCGUAGCUAACGCAUUAAGUUCCCCGCCUGGGGAGUACGGCCGCAAGGCUAAA